AAAAGCUCGUAGUUGGAUCUCAGUUCUAGUCGGGCGGUCCGCCUAACGGCGAUAACUGCCCGUUMUGAACAGCUCAGCCGGUUUCCCUUGAUGAUCUUCACCGGUUGUCUCGGUUGACCGGCACGUUUACUUUGAAUAAAUUAGAGUGCUCAAAGCAGGCGCGACGCCUGAACAAUGGUGCAUGGAAUAAUGGAAUAGGACCUCGGCUCUAUUUUGUUGGUUUUCGGAACACGAGGUAAUGAUUAAGAGGGACAGACGGGGGCAUUCGUAUUGCGACGUYAGAGGUGAAAUUCUUGGACCGUCGCAAGACGAACUACUGCGAAAGCAUUUGCCAAGAAUGUUUCCAUUAAUCAAGAACGAAAGUUAGAGGUGCGAAGACGAUCAGAUACCGUCCUAGUUCUAACCAUAAACGAUGCCAGCCAGUGAUCCGGCUGCGUUCCUCAAAUGACGCGCCGGGCAGCUUCCGGGAAACCAAAGCUUUUGGGCUCCGGGGGAAGUAUGGUUGCAAAGCUGAAACUUAAAGGAAUUGACGGAGGGCUACCACAAUAGGUGGAUCUUGCGGUUCAAUUUGACUCAACGCAGUGAACCCUACCAGGUCAGGACACAGGAAGGAUUGACAGAUUGAGAGCUCUUUCUUGAUUUUGUGGGUAGUGGUGCAUGGCCACUGUUGGUUCGUGAAGUGAUUUGUCUGGUUGAUUCUGAUAACGAACGAGACUCUAGCCUGCUAAAUAGACGCUCGGAUCACCCCUCGUCCGGCGUUUCUUCUUAGAGGGACUGGCGGCGUCCAGCCGCAUGAGGUUGAGCAAUAGUAGGUCUGUAAUGCCCUUWGAUGUCCUGGGCCACACGCGUGAUACAUUGAAAGAACCAGCGUGUGCUUUCCCUGUCCGUCAGGAUCGGGUAACCCGUUGAACUUCUUUCGUGCUGGGGAUUGGGGUUUGUCCAACUGUCCCCCAUGAACGAGGAACCUCUAGUAAGCGCGAGUCAUCAUCUCGUGUUGAUUAGGUCCCUGGCCCUUGUACACACCGCCCGUCGCUAUUACCGAUUGAAUGUCUUAGUGAGGACUUCGGAUUGGCUGUCGAUUUGGCUUUAGGGUCGAGCCGACGUGCCGAAAAGAUGCCCGAACUUGGUCAUUUAGAGGAAAUAAAAGUCGUAACAAGGCAUCC
rnacentral:rRNA from 1 species